AUGUUUACCGGAAGGAGCCCAACAGACGAAACAUUCAGGGAUUCAAUAGAUCUGCAGAAAUUUGCCGAGGAUGCCCUUCCAUAUAGAGCCUGGGACAUAGCUGACCCAACAAUCUGGCAGCAUACAGAGCUGACGGAUGACAUCAAAAGUAGUAUAAUCAAGGAGUGCUUGGUUUCUGUCUUCAGUGUUGGCAUAUCCUGCUCAAAAACAAAUCCUCGAGAACGUCAAUAA
rnacentral:rRNA from 1 species